rnacentral:lncRNA from 1 species
UUGUCUUUUCGAUCAUGAAAUAGCUGAAAUUGCAGGAGAGAGAGACGACAGCACGUAGGUUCAAUAUCAAGGAAGAGAGAGUGUGUCUCUUGGAGACAGAGGAUGAGUUUUGCAGCAAUGAAACUGGCGGUGAAACCGACAGCGAGAAGGGUGGAAGAGACUGGUUUUGGGCUGGUCCGACCCAAGUGAAUAUAAAUUGAGAUGGAUUAGCACUUUUUUCUUUUUAUUUUUUGGGUCAGUCCCGAUCUCCAGCUUUGAGUAGAUUGAAUCAGAAUAUAUUAGUAACACGCUUUCCAGAUUGAAUCAGAAUACGUAAUGUUUCGCCUGUUUCAAUUAUUUAGACCUAUUUUAUUUUAAUAAAUUGUUUUAUGAUAAAGACCACGCAAUAGAAGAAUUGCAUCCCCAUAAUCUUCUAAUAAGUUGUUCUACGAUAGGGGGGACACAAACUCAAAAAUAAAGUCUGUAUAAUCGAAUAGAUGAAUAAGAGUAUUAAUUAUCUAAUCAAAAAAUUAUUUGUAAUUGUCUAAGACCUAAUUAAUACUCAAUUGUCUCUGCAGAGCAACUUCUUCAUACCUGUUCGUCAUGGACAUCUCUGCUUCUAUCCUCCCAAGUGACAGACCUGGCUGAGCUUCCUACCAUCCAAUAAAUUCUCAUUAUUGUUUAAUAAGAGGAAUUAUUAAGGAAAAUUAUUAAUCAUCCCUGUCAAUUAUCAUACACAUACAUAUUCCGGACCAUAUUUAUUUGCAGUCACAUUGAUUAAUUUUAUAUCAUAAUUUUUUAUUGAUGCAAAAAAGGUUAAAAAUAUCAAAUCAAUUUACAAUUAAAGCCCUCUUCUUCCUUAUAAAUAAAUCUCACUCCCCUCUUUCAUACAAUAUUUUAAAUAACAAAAUUAUAUCCAAGUAAUACUACUUCCUGUUAGUUAAGCAAAAGAUUUAGUUCCAUCAUUAAUGCCGUCAAUAUGGGUUCAACCAUAGAUGAGCUCCCUAUGUAUCCAUGACGUGAGAACCUCAUUAAAAGUUAUCAUCAACACAAAAAUCUAAUAAUUAAGAUUUUUGUAUUUUACUUUAUUUAAAAAUGUAAAGUUUUUUCAUUGAUAAUUAUGUUAUAGAUUAAUAAUAAUCUAUUUAUUUAAUUUAAUGAACUAAUAAUUUAAUUAAUUAAUAUAUUAAUAGAAUUAGGAUGACUGACUUAAUUUUAAUAGCAGCCCAUGUUUAUUGAGUUUUUUAACAAUGAAAAGGCUAUGAUAGAUUCCUUACAAUAAUUAUCAUACAACAACAGUAAUAUAAUCACAUAGUCUUGUAUAUUUUUUCAGAAUGAGUUAUAGCCAGAAAUAGAGAUAACUACCAUAAAAUGGAGUUAAAAUUUAUGAUUAAAAUGAAAGUAGCCUAUACAUAUGUAAGACUCCUUGGAAGCAUUUUGAACAUGGUAGAAAACGAUGGCUAAAUACAUCAAGGAACAUAACAAGAGGAAGUGAAUGGAUCCAUAACCGAGUCCAUGUUCACCAGAAUGAACAAUGACUACAAACCCGGCCGAAUUCCCUUCCAAGCAACAAAUAUUACAUUGAAGAAUUUAGUAAUAGAUUGAAAUAUCAUUAAAAAAAUCUAAGUAGUUAAAAAGUAGAAAUUGUUUAGUACAAAUUAAAAAUUUUAAUCAAAUCGAUCUCCUAAAAAAUUCAUGGUGCUUUUAGAAAUUGAAUUUUUUAAUUUUUCUGCUUUUUUAAAAAAUCAAAUAAUUUUUUUGGCCAUAUAUGGGUUAAAUAUUUUAAAUAAAUGGUAUAUAGAUCCUAUUACAAAUUAAAGGUAGUGACAUUUAAACAUUUACUUACGUGCUAUAAAAUUUUAGAUUAUGUAAUAGCUCAAUUAAUUUUUAGCAUUUCACUAUUAAUUUUUAAUUAAUAAAUUACAUAAAAUAAGAAGUACUUUAGAACACUCCUUAAAGAGUAUGAGACAUUAUGUACUCAAAUAAGAGUACUUUUAAGUGUUCUAUAUUAAAUUAUUAAGUGUGUGUUAACAUUAUGUCUCUUGUACCUAUCUUACAUAUUAUUUUGAGAAUUUUUACUUCACUUAUAUAUUUAUUUUUUAGUACUACCUUCACAUAAUUACUCUAAAAAAAAUUCUUGCCAACAGUACAAUACUGUAAUCUAAUUAUUAAAAUUAUUAUAUUUUAAUUCAAAUAAUAAUUUUAAUCUUAUUAAAAAUAUAAAAUUUAUUAAUUUAUAUAUAUAAAAGGUAGAUCAAUACAGAGAACAGACAAGAAGAAAAACAACUGAAAAUUUACUUUUCAUCCAAAGGAAAAUAGAUGAUUGUUUUUUUUUUUAACCGAAAAAGAAAUAAAAAUCAGAAAUUUUGAGGGGGCAGGGCGGGAGGGGAAUUUCACUACAUUGGGUUUCAGAUUCACUUCGAUUCUGUAUAAAUAGGAUUCUCUCGGUCAGCAAUUUCUUAGAAGACUAAAGUCAAUAAUCAAUACAAUUCUUUAAGCUCCAAGAAUGGCAGCACUUAAGAUCACCAAAAAGCACCAUAAACACAUUAAUAACCCUUUCCCUUCUACCCCAAAAUCCCUUCCUUUCAUUCAGGGAAGUCUCUUUUUCGAUCUCGAGACACUACCUUCCCACCAAAAGUACCCAAUUGGCAGAGACUUUCAGCUCCUCUGGGACUCCAAAAAUGGAGUGUGUCUCUCAAUUUCUCACCGAUCACAGCCUACAAAAUUUAUAUGGUCUACCGUCGAAGGAGAAGCUUUUGUCUCUGCAGCCUUGGCUGAGACCGAGGUGGAAGAAAGCAGAGGUUCAUUUGCUUUCAGAGACAGAAACAUACGGUUGGUCUAUGACCACCAAACAAUCGAAGAUAUAAGAGUGAUCGAUCAAUUUCAGCACUGGUUGGAUGAUAGAGAUCAUGAUUUAUUAUCUAGCUAUGAAGGGUUAGAUCAGAAAAUAGUUUUGGAAGAUUCCCAGUUCCCUGUUUUGCUGAUCACAGGAAGAAUUUUCAAUACCCAGAAAAAGAAGAAGAAACAGCAGCUGCCGGACCCUGCCGUUUACAAAGACAUAAACCUUGAGUUUAAUUGUGCAAGAUAUUGGGUUCUAUUCGACCAAAAGAACCGGCAUCAACUUGGUUUUCGAGUGACAAUUGAAAGGCCAAAAAUUGAGUCCCAACAGAGAGCUUCUCCUAUAGCUAGAUACCAGCGGUUUAGGCGAAAACUUGGAUGGAUACGUAAAAAGAGGCUGGGAUGGUGCUGGUUCUUCACAAGGCCGAGAGGAUUUGUAGCAGUUUCGUCAUUAGCAGAGAAAGAAAUAGGAGAAACCAAGACUGCAGACUCCAUGCAUUUCAAUAGGGUCUGCUUAACAUAUUCAAGCGAAAGAAGUGAAAGAUUUUAUGGUUUUGGUGAGCAAUUCUCUCAUAUGGACUUUAAAGGCAAAAGGGUACCCAUUUUUGUUCAAGAACAAGGAAUUGGAAGAGGCGACCAACCUAUUACUUUCGCUGCUAACUUGGUUAGCUACAGGUAACUUAUACUUUGCGAAUAAAAACCAGAAUCAAUUACAAGAAUAAUAAACAUAAAACCUUCUUUUUUCCUUAUUGCUAGGGCUGGGUGGUGAUUGGAGCACAACUUAUGCUCCAUCACCAUUUUACAUGACGUCAAAGAUGAAGUCUCUUUACCUUGAAGGAUACCACUAUUCUGUAUUUGAUCUCACAAGAUCAGAUAGAGUCCAAGUACAGGUUUGGUUCCACAGUAGUUGCUUCUAAUAGAGAAAAACAUUUUAUUAAUUUUAUAGCUUAUACAAUACCGUAUCAGACACUAGAGACUUAAGGGGCCAUAACCAGUACCUUGAAAAAAUACAUGGAAGGUCAUGAUAAUUUUUUUUAAUAAAAAGUAUAAAUUAUAUUAAUAGACACCAUAAGGGUGCCAACCCCUAUACAAACUAUUUACAUAUUUACCAAGAUCUCAACAAGGUCCCCCAAAUCAUCCAUUGAGUAAAAAAGAUGACCAAAAGUCAAAGUCAAGGAUCUAGAACCAUCUGUUCCUAAUCCUAUCAAAAUCCCCCCACAUCCUCAACCCCCUCCAAAGCUUUUCUACUCCUCAACUUCCAUGUCAUCCAGAAAAUGGUGCGUGGGGAUCAUGAUAGUGUCCAGGACUAGAAUAAUUUUCCAAGUAUGCCUACUGCCAAGACAUUCUUUUCAGCCCAGAAACAUCAACUGUAAUGCAGCGUGAUAUUGCAUGUAGAAUAAUUUCAAUUACAGUCAUGAUUUAUGAAAUCAAUUUGUAAACUACUACCUUACAAAUUUUUGAGUUCUUUGCUCAUAAUUUUUUUUAAAAAAAAGAAAAUUAGAUUUUGAAGGAAAGAAGAGGAAAAUGCCAUGAACGAGCAUAUCUUUUAGGCUCAUCAAGAGUUAGAACUUUAAAAAUCAUGGUUUCCUUUUCCUAAACACUAGAACUUGCAGAUUCAUGGAAAUUCAAUUCAAGGAAGGAUUCUGCACGGUAACUCACCAUCUGAGAUCAUUGAGCACUUCACAAAAAGUGUUGGAAGGCCUCCGGAGCUUCCUGAGUGGAUUAUAUCUGGGGCUGUGGUUGGAAUGCAAGGUGGCACAGAUGCGGUUCGCCAUGUUUGGGAUGAACUGAAGACUUACAAGGUUCCCAUUUCAUCAUUUUGGUUGCAGGUAAUGCACACUGCAUGCCCUGAAGAGAAACGUCUUUUUAGCUUAUUGAUGUGCACAACUGAUGAUCCUCGUUUCAUCUCAGCAAAUAAUUUUAACAUCUUCACAUAUCAAACUUGAUUAAUUUCAACUUUGCUUCCACCAAGUAUUUAGCAGUUUAAUCAAUUGAGUGGCACUUGUUGUGUAGGAUUGGGUGGGGCAACGGGAGACACUGAUUGGAUCUCAGCUGUGGUGGAACUGGGAAGUGGAUACCAAAAGGUAUGAGGGAUGGCGACAGCUUAUUAAAGAUCUUGGUGCCGAGCAUAUUAAAGUUAUGACAUACUGCAACCCAUGUCUAGCCCCGGUAUUUAUCUCCUUGCUCCAAGUUUUCUCUACUAACAUUAUGGUAUAACUAUUUCAUGACCAAGUAGCCUCUCUAAACUUUGAGAAGGGGAUUGCCACUGUUUUUAAAACAAUCAAUUAUUUUUUCUAUGCAUAGAACUUCCCUUGAACUGAAAGUAGUUCUAAACAAACUAAUUAUUCAAUUGUGACCGGAAAAGACAAAGAAAUUGCAACUAUGUUUUGAAGCUUUAAAUUUCUCUGACAGACGAAUGAUAAGCCUAACCGGAGGAGAAACCUAUUUGAAGAGGCAAAGAAGUUGGACAUCCUAAUCAAAGACAAGUAUGGAGAACCAUAUAUGGUUCCAAAUACAGCUUUUGAUGUGGGAAUGUUGGAUUUGACACACCCAGUUGCAACAGGUUGGUUCAAGCAGGUUUUACAGGAAAUGGUAGAUGAUGGAGUCAGAGGAUGGAUGGCUGAUUUUGGGGAAGGGCUGCCUGUCGACGCUACCCUAUAUUCAGGUUUGAAGGCUUAAUUUGUUCUUGAUAGAUUUGUCAAGGUAUUUGUGCAGGUAAAAAAGUUAAUUCCCAUUCCUAAAAAUUUGGAUAGCUUCCAAUAGCAAGGAUUUUUGUCACCUCCAAAAUAUGCUUUGUUAUUGACCAUGUCUUGAUUUGUGCUUUGCUGUUCUAUAACUCGUCAAGUUUCUGGUAAAUUUUAGUAUAAUUAUAAUUUUCAUUUUCUUUCUUGCAUAAAUGAUUAAUACUGUGUUUAUUUGAAUUUCUAGUGACUGCUAACGAGGUAGGAGCUCUUAUUUCAGGUGAAGAUCCUAUUUCAGCUCAUAACAGAUAUCCAGAGUUAUGGGCCAAAAUAAACAGAGAGUUUGUUGAAGAAUGGAAAAGCAACCAUGCAACUAAGGAAGGAGAAGAACCAGAAGAUGCUUUGAUCUUCUUCAUGAGGGCUGGUUUCAGAGAGAGUCCCAGAUGGGGUAUGUUAUUUUGGGAAGGAGACCAAAUGGUAAGCUGGCAGGCUAAUGACGGUAUUAAGAGUGCUGUUGUUGGCCUAUUAAGCAGUGGACUUUCUGGGUAUGCCUUUAAUCACAGUGAUAUUGGAGGCUACUGUUCAGUAAAUUUACCAAUUAUUAAGUAUCAGAGAAGUGAAGAAUUGCUUUUAAGGUGGAUGGAGCUAAAUGCUUUCACCAGUGUUUUCCGGACACAUGAAGUAAGUAAACCUGAAUUACUAUCAGUUAUGUUAUCUAUCAUUUUUCCCAUAACAAGAAGUAGAGAGAUAUACAUUCUUCAACUUCUCUAAGCAAUUAAUACCAUGUGCAAUAUAGACAUACUAUCUGCUAUAAAGCCUAUUAGCUCCAUGGGCAAUACUUAUAACUAGCAAGUCUAUUAUCACCUGUGAAUAUGUAAAGCUUUUCGUAUAAAAUCAGGAUAUAUAUAUAUAUGUGUGUGUGUGUAUUUGUAUAUAUACAUAUACCAGAAAACAAGACUCAAGUUUAGGUUUUUAGUGAAAGUUAAUAGGUUGACAGUAAAUUACAUUUCUGAGUUUUACUUAAAAAAGUAAACUGUAAUGAUAUUUUUGAAGAGUUUAGAUAUUCCUCACUGGCAGGGAAACAGACCUACGUGCAACACUCAAUUUUACUCAAACGAGCAGACUCUUAACCAUUUUGCACGAUUUGCCAAAAUUUAUACCGCUUGGAAAUUCUACAGAAUCCAACUUGUAAAGGUGAUAAUAAAUUGAUGCUAUGUCCACUUUUUUCCAAGAAAAUUCACGGAUCUAAACUCUCUCUUUUUCAAUAAAACAGGAAGCAGCCCAGAAAGGCUUGCCUGUUUGCCGCCACCUAUUUCUACACUAUCCGGAUGAUGAACGGGUGCAUAGACUGAGUUACCAGCAAUUCUUGGUGGGUAGUGAGAUCCUAGUGGUGCCUGUCCUUGAUAAGGGCAAGAAGAAUGUCAAAGCAUAUUUUCCAGUAGGAGAAACUUGUUCUUGGCAACACAUAUGGACAGGAAAGUUAUAUACAAAACAAGGUUCAGAAGUUUUGGUAGGAGCUCCAAUUGGUUAUCCUGCUGUAUUUGUAAAAUGCGGGUCUAUCACUGGAGAAACUUUUCUCGCAAACUUGAGAAAUUUUGAUUUACUUUAAGAAUAUGACUUGUAACCUAAUGUUUGUCUAAUGUAGAGUAGCAUUUCUGCUUGUCAUGGGGCUUCCAUGCAGACCUAGAAUAAUGGUAAAAUCAAAACUAAAUGAAAUCAAAAGACGAUCACACGUAGACCCAAAUUCAAGCCCUUACUGAAGUGUCCUCUCCUCCCCGAGUCAUUUAAUCAAACAACUACCGUGCAUUAAAAUUCUGGUUCUAAAAUCUAUUCAAGUUCAAUAGACGAUGGUCCAUAAUCAGCUGCAACACUGAAUUCCAUGACAAAUCAAAUCAACCAAUCAUAAAGAGAACCUAGUUAGACAAAUGCCAAAAGAAACACCUCAUCGGAAGAUACUAAACAAACAUUGAAGAAGAGGUAUACAAAGUAUCUGCAUAUGUUAAUGGAAGAUCACAUUUCCAGUUGAGAGCAGUAACUAACCUUAGAAUCAAAGGCUGAGCGUGAAGCUUGAAGAUGAAUUAGCAAACGAGACCUCGUCGUUACUAAGCUCAGCUGGUUCUUCCCUGUGGAUUCCCAAAGGGAUUAAGCUUAACAAAGUCCUAUGGAGCUAAGCAAACGAGAAGAACUCUCAUCGUUGGAACAGAAGAUGCAGUGAAGAAGAAAAGCCAGAGAUUGAAGUGAUUGGAUCAUGGCUGAACUUUUUCUCUGUAAGCUUUCAGUUUCUGAAUUGAUUCGUAUAGUUUCGCGGGAUAUUCUCCCACUCGUGGGGUCUACAGUAUUAAUUUAUAUCCGACCUCAGCAAAUCCAAACGUCC